AUGGAAGAGGAGGAACAUCGUGGAGUUGUUCUGGUAUGCAGCGUCUGUGGGUUCCUCUUCGCUGUCCUUGGCCCACUCAGCUUUUGGAUUCUAUGGGCUGUGAAUUGGAGGCCAUGGAGGUUAUAUAGCUGGAUAUACGCAAGGAAAUGGCCAGCCUAUGCGCAAGGACCUCAGCUAAGCACACUCUGCAGCUUUUUGACCCUUUUUGCAUGGCUUGUCGUCAUUUCCCCUAUAGCCGUUCUGCUAGUGUGGGGAAGCAUCCUUAUUGCUCUUAUGGAAAGGAACAUAACUGGUUUAGCUGUUAUAAUGGUUGGCGUUGCUUUGCUUCUAUCAUUCUACUCUAUAAUGCUCUGGUGGAGAACACAAUGGCAAAGCUCAAAGGCUGUUGCUUAUCUUCUCCUCUUGGCAGUAGGUCUGCUGUGUGCCUAUGAAUUUUGUGCUGUUUAUGUCACAGCCGGUGCUAGUGCUACUGAGAUCAAUUCUCCAUCUGGAUUCUUCUUUGGAUUAUCUGCAAUAUCAUUGGCCAUCAAUAUGCUCUUUAUAUGUAAAAUACUGUUUAAUGGAAGUGGAUUCGAUGUUGAUGAAUACGUCCGGAGGUCGUACAAGUUUGCAUAUUCUGAUUGUGUUGAAGUGGCCCCUGUCUCAUGCUCCCCUGACCCCCCGGAUCCUAGUGAGUUAUACAUGACAAAAUCCAGCAGGGUGUUGCAUCUAGGGCUUCUCUACCUUUGCUCCCUGGUUGUGCUUGUUGUCUAUUCCAUCUUGUAUGGUGUGACAUCAAAAGAAGCACGUUGGUUGGGCGCUUUAACUUCAGUUGCUGUAGUGAUUCUUGACUGGAAUUUGGGCUUGUGUUCAUUCAGGUUUGAGCUUCUUAAAAGUCGGACGCUAGCGUUAUUUGUGGCUGGAACAUCGCGCGUUUUUCUCAUAUGCUUUGGGGUUCAUUACUGGUACCUUGGACAUUGCAUUAGCUAUGCUUUUGUGGCAUCUGUUCUUUUAGCUGCUGCUGUCUCUGGCUGGCUUUCUAUUUCCAACCCCUCAGUUGCAAGGAUUGAUGCACUAAGAAGUACAGUUAUAAAGCUGCGAGAAGGAUUUCGAAGAAAAGGACAAAAUAGUUCUUCAAAUUCAUCAGAAGGUUGCGGAUCUAGUGUGAAGCGUAGUAGUGGUAGUGUUGAAGCAUGUCAACAUGGUAACACUACCGAUUCUAUUUACAGAAGUAAUUCACAGAGUGAUGGGGUCCAUUGGAAUAGUGUUCCUUUUGAUCGAUCCAACAGUUGUCAAGAAGGCAGAAGCUCUGACAAGAACAUAGAUAGUGGACGUGCAAGUUUAGCACAUCGCAGUAAUUCGUGCCUUUCUGCUGUCCAAGACUCUGAAACUGCGAUCAUUUCUGCAGAUAGACAUGGGGAUACCACUGCUUCACUUGUUGUUUGUUCUAGCAGCGGUUUGGAAAGUCAAUGCUGCGGGUCUAGUGGAUCAGCCACUGCCUCGGGUAAUCAGCAACUGUUGGAUUCGAGCUUAGCUGCAAUUUUUCAAGACAGGCUGAAUGACCCAAAGAUCACAUCUAUGCUAAAAAGGAAUGGUGGACUUGGAGAUGUGGAACUGGCUAAUCUUCUACAUGAUAAAGGCCUGGAUCCUAAUUUUUCUUACAUGUUGAAAGAUAAGGUUAUGGAUCCACGGAUUUUAGCUUUGCUACAGAGAAGCAGCCUAGAUGCAGACCGGGAACAUCAAGAUGAUGCAGAUGCUACUGCUACUGAGGAAUUGGAUACGACUAUUGCAAACCAGAUCUCUUUGUCAGAAGAACUCAGGAGAAACGGGCUAGAAAAUUGGCUGAACAUUUCAAGACUGAUUUUUCAUCAAGUGGCUGGUACUCCAAUACGGUCCUUUGUUGUAUUUACCCUAAUAUUUAUUGUAGAGACAGUUACUGUUGCUGUCCAUCGACCAGAGCCCAUCAAGGUGAUAAAUGCAAUACAUGAACAGUUUGAGUUUGGUUUCUCCAUACUGCUUUUAUCACCAGUCGUCUGUUCCAUCAUGGCAUUCACAUGGUCCCUGCAUGCGGAAGAGAUGAUGAUGACAUCCAAACCACAGAAGUAUGGCUUCAUCGCGUGGCUGCUGAGUACAUGUGUUGGCUUACUUCUCUCUUUCUUGAGCAAGUCAUCAGUUAUAUUGGGUUUGUCUCUCACGGUCCCACUUAUGGUGGCUUGCCUCUCAUUUGCUAUUCCUAUAUGGAUGCGUAAUGGUUAUCGUUUCUGGAUUCCGGGAGGGGAACUUGAUAAUCGUGAAAAUAUUCGUCAAUCUCCAGGGAAGAAAGAGGGGACUCUCUUCGCAAUCAGCAUAGUUGUUUUCAUUGCAUCAGUUAUUGGCCUUGGUGCAAUAGUAUCAGCGAAACCUUUAGAUGCUUUGGGCUACAGAGGAUGGGACGCUGAUAAAAAGAGUUUUUACUCUCCCUAUGCAACAUCUAUGUAUCUUGGAUGGGCAUUAUCUUCCACAAUUGCGGUGCUUGUUACUGGGGUGAUACCUAUUGUUGCUUGGUUCGCCACAUACCGAUUUUCGCCUUCAUCGGCCAUAUGUGUUGGCCUUUUCGCAACUGUUCUUGUAUCCUUCUGCGGUGCAUCCUAUUGGGGAGUUGUAAAUUCACGUGAGGACGGGAUUCCUCUUAAGGCUGAUUUCCUGGCAGCACUACUCCCCUUACUUUGCAUUCCUGCAAUGUUUGCUCUGUUCACUGGGCUGUAUAAAUGGAAGGAUGAUGAUUGGAAGAUCUCCCGAGGAGUUUACCUUUUCGUCGGCAUGGGAAUGUUGCUAUUGCUUGGUGCUAUAGCAGCAAUUAUUGUCACAAUUAGACCUUGGACUGUCGGAGUCGCAUGCCUCCUAGUUAUCCUGUUCCUCGUAUUUGCUAUUGGGGUCAUUCACUACUGGAAAUCUAAUAACUUCUAUUUAACAAGAACACAGAUGCUACUUGUCCGUUCCCUUGCUUUUCUCCUCGUGCUGGCUGCCUUCCUUAUGGGUCUGUUUCAGGGCAAACCUUUUCUUGGAGCAUCUAUUGGUUAUUUCUCAUUUCUGUUUCUUCUCACUGGAAGGGCUUUGACUGUCCUUCUAUCUCCACCAAUUGUUGUUUAUUCACCACGGGUAUUACCCGUAUAUGUUUAUGAUGCUCAUGCAGACUCUGCCAAAAAUGUUAGUUACGCCUUCCUUAUCUUGUAUGGGAUUGCAUUGGCAACUGAAGUUUGGGGUGUUAUCGCCAGUCAAAUAAUGAAUCCACCGUUUGUUGGGGCUGCUAUUUGUGCUAGCACUCUUGUAAUUGCCUUCAGUUUCGCUGUUUCUCGUCCAUGCCUAACUCUUAAGAUGAUGGAGGAUGCCAUUCAUUUUCUCAGCAAGGACACAGUUAUUCAAGCAAUGUCACGGUCUGCUAACAAAACAAGAAAUGCUAUAUCCGGGACUUACUCAGCACCUCAGAGGUCCGCAAGUUCUGCUGCUCUUUUGGUGGGAGAUCCUGCUGUUACUCUGGAUAGGGCUGGGAACUUUGUGCUUCCUAGAGCUGAUGUUAUGAAACUGAGGGAUCGUUUGAGAAAUGAAGAAGUCACUACAGGAUCUUUCUUUUGUGGAGUAAAAAAUUGUUUCAUGGUUUGCCCUGGAUCCCCAGCAGACGUUGAUUAUCGGAGGAAUAUGUGUGCCCAUGCACGCAUCUUGGCUUUGGAAGAGGCAAUUGAUACUGAAUGGGUUUAUAUGUGGGACAAAUUUGGUGGUUAUUUGCUUCUGUUGCUUGGAUUGACUGCCAAAGCUGAACAAAUACAGGAUGAAGUUCGUCUUAGGCUAUUUUUGGACAGCAUAGGCCUUUCUGACUUAAGUGCUAAAGAAAUUAAGAAAUGGAUGCCUGAAGAUCGAAGGCAAUUUGAACUUAUUCAAGAAAGCUACAUAAGGGAGAAAGAAAUGGAAGAGGAGGUCUUGAUGCAAAGGCGAGAGGAAGAAGGGAAGGGAAGGGAAAGAAGGAAGGCAUUGUUGGAGAAGGAGGAACGCAAAUGGAAGGAGCUCGAAAUAUCAUUGCUGUCUUCUAUACCUAAUGCUGGAAGCAGGGAUGCUGCGGCUAUGGCGGCAGCUGUCAGAGCUGUGGGAGGUGAUUCUGCUCUGGAAGACUCUUUUGCCAGGGACAGAGUCUCGUCAAUAGCCCUUCACAUACGAAAAGCACAAUUGGCACGACGAGCAGAGCAGACUAGCAUUCCAGGUGCUGUAUGUGUACUUGAUGAUGAACCAAGGAGUACCGGACGCCAUUGUGGAGAAAUUGACCUGUGUCUUUGUCAAAGUCAAAGAGUGAGCUUCUCCAUUGCAGUAAUGGUUCAACCGGUAUCUGGUCCAGUCUGUCUUUUCGGAACCGAAUUUGAGAAGAAGGUUUGCUGGGAAAUCUUGGUGGCAGGGUCAGAACAGGGAAUGGAAGCGGGGCAGGUUGGUCUUAGAUUAGUAACUAAGGGUGAAAGGAUGACCACUGUUGCUAAAGAGUGGAAUAUUGGUGCGUCAAGUAUUGCAGAUGGCAGGUGGCAUAUCGUCACAGUGACUAUAGAUGCUGACCUAGGUGAAGCAACUUCUUUCAUAGAUGGAGUUUAUGAUGGAUAUCAGAAUGGAUUACCGUUGCCUAGAAACAACGGCGUAUGGGAACCUGGGGCAGAUAUUUGGGUUGGUGCGCGGCCACCCACAGACUUGGAUGCCUUUGGUAGGUCAGACAGUGAAGGUACAGACUCAAAGAUGCAGAUAAUGGAUGCUUUCUUAUGGGGAAGGUGUCUGACUGAAGAUGAGAUUGCUGCGCUAUAUACAACCAUGAGUCCUGCGGAGUAUGGCUUUUUUGACCUUGCAGCUGAAGAUGCUUGGCAUGGAAGCUAUUCUGCUAGGGUGGAUGACUGGGAGAGUGAAGAAGCAAACUAUGAGCUAUAUGAUCAAGAGGAUGUUGAAUGGGACGGGCAGUAUUCAAGUGGUAGGAAACGUCCGGUGCGCGAUGCAGUAGCUAUUGACAUUGAUUCCUUUGCUAGAAGACCCAGAAAACCGAGGUUUGAGACACGAGAGGAAGUCAACCAGCGUAUGCUGUCUGUUGAAAGGGCUGUCAGGGAAGCUCUUAGUGCAAAAGGGGAGAGGGCAUUUACUGAUCAAGAGUUCCCUCCAGAUGAUAGAUCUUUAUACGUGGAUCCAGGGAACCCUCCUCUAAAAUUGCAGGUUGUUUCUGAGUGGACGAGGCCUUCUGACAUAGCAAAGGAGAUAUCUAUUAGUUCUCAGCCAUGCUUGUUUUCUGGUUCCGUGAAUUCCUCGGACGUAUGCCAGGGUCGGUUGGGAGACUGCUGGUUCCUGAGUGCAGUUGCAGUUUUAACUGAGAUGUCUCGUAUAUCUGAAGUUAUAAUCACUCCAGCAUACAAUGAAGAAGGGAUUUACACUAUCAGAUUCUGCAUUCAGGGUGAGUGGGUGGCUGUGGUCGUGGAUGAUUGGAUUCCCUGCGAGUCUCCUGGAAAACCAGCAUUUGCUACGAGUCGGAAACAAAAUGAGCUAUGGGUAUCCAUUCUUGAGAAAGCUUAUGCAAAACUUCAUGGCUCUUAUGAGGCGCUAGAAGGCGGGCUUGUGCAAGAUGCUCUAGUAGACCUCACAGGAGGAGCUGGCGAGGAGAUUGAUAUGCGGAGUCCCCAAGCACAGAUCGAUCUUGCUAGUGGAAGAUUGUGGUCUCAGUUGUUACAUUUUAAUCAAGAAGGUUUUCUUCUUGGUGCUGGAAGUCCCUCUGGCUCUGAUGCUCAUAUUUCAUCAAGCGGCAUUGUUCAGGGACAUGCUUACUCCAUUUUGCAGAUAAGAGAAGUUGAUGGCCACAAGCUUGUCCAAAUUAGAAAUCCUUGGGCAAAUGAAGUUGAAUGGAAUGGGCCAUGGUCAGACUCGUCACAGGAGUGGACUGAACGAAUAAAGCAUAAGCUCAAGCAUGUUCCACAGUCAAAGAAUGGUGUAUUCUGGAUGUCUUGGCAAGAUUUUCAGAUCCACUUUCGAUCAAUAUAUGUUUGUCGUGUUUAUCCACCUGAGAUGCGCUAUUCUGUCCAUGGGCAAUGGCGUGGCUACAGUGCAGGUGGUUGCCAAGAUUAUGACUCGUGGCAUCAAAAUCCUCAGUAUCGACUAAGGGUAACAGGACGUGAUGCACUGUAUCCUGUCCAUGUGUUUAUUACCCUUACACAGGGUGUUGGUUUCUCUAGAAAGACAAAUGGUUUCAGGAAUUACCAAUCUAGUCAUGAUUCUUCCAUGUUUUAUAUUGGAAUGAGGAUACUCAAGACAAGGGGCUGCCGUGCUGCUUACAAUAUCUACAUGCAUGAAUCCGUUGGCGGGACAGAUUAUGUAAACUCAAGGGAGAUAUCGUGUGAAUUGGUCUUGGAACCUUAUCCGAAAGGAUACACAAUUGUGCCAACAACUAUCCAUCCAGGGGAGGAAGCACCUUUUGUUUUGUCAGUUUUUACAAAAGCACCAAUCAAACUAGAAGCUGUUUAG
rnacentral:rRNA from 1 species